rnacentral:rRNA from 1 species
UACGAAGGGUGCAAGCGUUACUCGGAAUUACUGGGCGUAAAGCGUGCGUAGGUGGUGAGUUAAGUCUGAUGUGAAAUCCCCGGGCUCAACCUGGGAAUGGCAUUGGAUACUGGCUCGCUGGAGUGCGGUAGAGGGUGGUGGAAUUCCCGGUGUAGCAGUGAAAUGCGUAGAGAUCGGGAGGAACAUCUGUGGCGAAGGCGCACAUCUGGCCCGAUACUGACGCUGAGGCGCGAAAGCGUGGGGAGCAAACGGG